CUCCAGCUUCAAAAAAUACCGGUGAUGGUUAUGUCCAAACCGACUUCAACUUGGAUCCAAUCACUGUUGAGGGAAUAUGAUACUAAAAUCUCUAUAUAGUUUUGACUUUUGAGCAAAGAAAACACAAAAAUGAAUAAAAAGAAAGCGAAAACGCGUUUAAAAACUUUGAAUCAUUUUUUGCUCUCAUGUGCGCAAUCACUUUCCAAUUUUCCAUGCAAAUGCAAAGUACAUUACUCGAUGCUUUUGCUUUGGCAUGCAUGAUUAUCUUAUCUCCUUUGUCUCUUGAGCUUAAGCCACUCUCUACCAACACGUGUUGCAUCCUUAUUGGGAGGAUUCUGGAUCACCAUCUUCGUUCGGCUCGCAUCGUCAAGGCUCAUCGGAGGUUUUCUGUUCCGGCGAGUUUCUGUAGUUUUUUGGACGGCGGUUCAUUCGUAUUUUACGAUAUUUAGAUUAGAGUUUCUCUUGAACCGGUUUAAAUCCGGCUUUGUUAAAAUCGAGUCGAUUUUGUUUUAAUUGGUUUUGUUUAGUUAGAAACUAGUGGGUUGGGCCCUGA